ACCAUACUAUAGCAUUGCUGGUGUGGCUUCUGUGUCGCAUAUGUCAGGAGGUGGUAGAGAGAAGAGAGGCUAUGUCUACUCUUAGUGCUCUGACCUAUGAGCAUCUGAAUGGUCAGUAAGUAGCUUAGCAUU